rnacentral:misc_RNA from 1 species
UACAGAGGUGGCGAGCGUUGUUCGGAUUUACUGGGCGUAAAGGGCGCGUAGGCGGCCGUGUGUGUGGGGUGUGAAAUCUCCGGGCUCAACCCGGAAAGUGCGCCCCAAACUGCAUGGCUCGAGUUCGGGAGGGGGGAUCGGAAUACAGGGUGUAGCGGUGAAAUGCGUUGAUAUCCUGUAGAACACCAGUGGCGAAGGCGAAUCCCUGGAAGAUACCUGACACUGAGGCACGAAAGCUAGGGGAGCAAACAGG